UAGAGCUUGAUCAUGGCUCAGAUUGAACGCUGGCGGCAGGCCUAACACAUGCAAGUCGAGCGGUAGAGAGAAGCUUGCUUCUCUUGAGAGCGGCGGACGGGUGAGUAAUGCCUAGGAAUCUGCCUGGUAGUGGGGGAUAACGUUCGGAAACGGACGCUAAUACCGCAUACGUCCUACGGGAGAAAGCAGGGGACCUUCGGGCCUUGCGCUAUCAGAUGAGCCUAGGUCGGAUUAGCUAGUUGGUGGGGUAAUGGCUCACCAAGGCGACGAUCCGUAACUGGUCUGAGAGGAUGAUCAGUCACACUGGAACUGAGACACGGUCCAGACUCCUACGGGAGGCAGCAGUGGGGAAUAUUGGACAAUGGGCGAAAGCCUGAUCCAGCCAUGCCGCGUGUGUGAAGAAGGUCUUCGGAUUGUAAAGCACUUUAAGUUGGGAGGAAGGGUUGUAGAUUAAUACUCUGCAAUUUGAACGUACCGA
rnacentral:rRNA from 1 species